ensembl:lncRNA
UAUCAGGUUAUGGCAGAACACAUAGAUGAUGUGGCUAUUAAUUUAAUCUUGAACAAUUCAAGCAUUCUGUUGUGCACAAUGCAAUAUGUUAAUUAAAACAGGUAACAGCAAAACUCCUUGCUAUUACUUCAAUCUGUUUUCUAUCACUAUAUGUUUUAAUAUGUAUGUUCCUCCAAAAUCAAUAUGUAAAACUGGAACCCUAAAGUUAUACUAGUAUUGAAAGGUAGAGUCUUUGAGGGAGUGAUAAAGUCGUGAGAGUCCUGGCCCUAUAAAAAAAGGCUUCAGAGAGCUGCCUUCUAGUCCUCCAGCCCUUCUACCACAGGAAGAGGCAGGGUUCUCCGUCUAGGACCCAGCAACAAGGACCCAUCCAUCUUGAAGCAGAGAAUGAGUCCUUACCAGACAUUGGAGUCUGCUGAUGGCCUCAUGGUAGACUUCUCAGCCACCAGAACUAUAAGAAACAAAGUUUUAUUAUUUACAAAUCAUCAAAUUUGUGUUGUUGCAUUAUAGCAGCACGAAUGGAACAAGAUACUAUAUAGAUAAGAAAAUGAAUAGUUUUAAAUUUUUGUAAUUUAAAGAAUAUUUAUGUAACUCAAUACCUUUCAUUUGCAUUUUACAUAACUAUACCCAUUACAGAUACAUGUCCAAACUGAAUUAGUAAAUUUUGAUGUUUAUUUGCUGCACCUCUUGUCUGCCCCCAAGAUGGGAAGUGUAUGGCAUGUCUAGAGGCUCCCAGAAGAGAGGGAGAUCAAGCCAGCACUUGGUGGGCAGGAAGGAUUUGAAUAGUGAAGAAAAGCUAUUCCAGAUCUUGGAAAUCUGUAAAGUACAUAAAGAAGGAAGUUGCCUGGGUUGCCAAGUGUUGUUUUACCACACAAGGAAGUGGAAAAUGAGGCCAGAAAGAUAGGUUGAGGCUAGAUUAAAGGAAUUUUUAGUCCUAGUAUGAGGAAUUCACCUUUUUGCAUGAAAUUAUUUUAAAAGGUAGACAUAUAUUAUAGGAGAAAAAUGACCCAUCAAGAAAAAUGCUAUUGCAAUGGGGUAGGUAGUAGAGGCCUGAAUUAGGAUAGUGGCUAUGAGAAUAAAAUAAUGUACUCCAAAAUAGGAAAUGAAAGGAUUUGGUGACUACUCCCUGUGCAUUGCUCCCACAUCCUCCUCACUUCAGGCAGUCUAAACCGCAAUUUUUAUUCUAGAUAAUUGAAAGAAUAAUUAUAACAACAGCAAUAAAAAUAAAAGUAACCAACAUUCCUGUGGUGCUUAUUAUGUACCCAGCCCUUGUUUAAGUGUUUAAUCAUCUCAAAAACCUGGUGAAAUAAAUAGUGUCAUUCCCAUUUCAUUGAUGUGAAGUCUGAAGCAGAAGAGAUUAGAUGAUGGGCUCAAGGUCAUACAGAUAAUGAAUAGCAUACCUAGGACAGGAACCCAAACAGUUGGGCCCAGAGUCUGAAGGAAUGCUUCUCCCCAUGGUCUCAUUCACCAAGCGCUAGCUUGUGGCAGAUAGCCCUCGAGUUUCUAUCUAUUGAAGCUGAAGUGGAACGUCUGAGUGGGAAUAUGUAGCGGGUAAUCAAGACUGAGAUCUGAAAUUCAGAGAAUAGUCAAGAUUGAAGACAGGGAAUUGAGUACCGUGUACACCUUACUUAAUUGACUUGGGUAUUGAAGCCAUUCCAUUACCGAAUCUGAGAUCAGGGUCUAACCCAGGAGAGGAGGCGUGGUGCUGAGAGGUGAUCAAAACAAGAUUUUCAGACUGCUGGAAAAAAAUGCCUGCAGACUUGGUCACCAAACCUCUUGGUAGUUACAUCCUGCUUAUCUUUUCUUUCUCAUGUAUUCUAAUGAAUUGUAACAUAGUAUAUUGAUUUCCAUAUAAUUCCAGGAAAUGUGGUGGCUUAUAGUAUUUUCACGUUUGUUUUUAAGUUCUAACUUCUACCAGUUAUUUUAGGACCCUGAAAUACUCAAUAUGGCAAUAUACCAUGAAAUAUGAUGAGCUCAGACAUCAAGAACUCAAAGAGUUCAUGAUAGGAUCAUCGUUAAGAGAAACCACUUUGGAAAAAUGACUGGGUUUGGAUCUCAGCCCGGCCACUUACAAGUUUUCUGACAUUGAGCUUGUUAUUUUGUCUCUAAUAACACCCAUCUCAUGGGAAGGUUUAAAAAGGAUGACAUAUAUGUGUCGUUUCUUACUAUUCCUAUGAAAGAAGUCAGUAAAUUGUAGCUGUUACUAUUAUCUGAUCUCUAUAUGUAUACAAAUUGUAUGGACCUCUGAACAGAUAAAAAUUACCCAAGAUGCAUUUCCCUUCACUUUUUGAAGACACACUUCUUCAAGAGAUGUGUUUGCCAGAACACUUUAGUAUGUAAUCUAACCAGGACUUUGGAGAAGGAAAAGAUAAUGCCAUCACAAACAAUCCAUCACAUCCAAGACAAAUACAAGAUGGGCUCCCACUAACUGUUCUUGCAUAGGUCUUCAUAAAUUCUCCCAUGGACCGUCUACAACAGCCUUCCGGCUGCUCUCCACCUACAGCGUUAUCCUCCCUCCCAACGCCAUUUCUCUACCAGCAUUCUCCAAACUUUGAAAACUGCACAUCUCUUUAAUUGAAGGAGGAACUAAGCAUGAGUGGUGUUGCAUAAGAGGAGUUCAAAGAUGUCUGCAAGGGAAGGCAGCAAAGGAUUCACCAUGAGACAGUGCUGCUAAAUGAUAUGAUUAAAGUCAUAUAGGAAAAUGACAAAUCAUUCAUCAAGAACCACAACCCGAAGUUACAGGGGUGAUAAAAUGGAGCUGAAAGGUAUGUAUAAGACCUCUCACAAUUGUUCAAGAAAUAGUAAAGUAUCUCUCUGUUUGAUUGUACACUGUGAGUAAAAGCUAGGCUGCCCUACUAAACUUCUUUUUACCAAGCUAAUCAGCCAAGUUUGACGUUCAGGGUGUGUGUACUUCCCAACUAAUGGGCCAUUAGUGAGCCCUUACUUUUUCAGAAGCUAAGCCUUGGUAGUAAUGGUUUUGGACUGUACAGUACGUCUAUUCUUUCUUUUUCUCGUCUUCCUUUCUUUGCUGCCUAUUUUUGAAAUAUGCCAUCCCUUGUUAAUAUUUCCACUUGGUAAGAAAGCAGAGAAAGGAGCUGAAACUUAAUUCUGUUCACUUUACUUUUUGCUAGCAGCAAUGGUAGAAGAUUUCUUACAGGAAGAGGUUGAAGGUAUUGGCUGAAAUGCAGCUCAGGGAAUAUAGCGGAUUUCAAUAACUUGUGCUCUCGCUCUGUUCUUCAGCCAAAUAAUCCAGUCCCGGUCAUGCAGUUAACUACUCAAAUCCAGUCAUCUCGAGUGUGGUGUGUUCACACACCCUGCUUUCUCUUCUCCGCUGCUCUAUCUACCCGACUUGGUCAGCAGUCUCAUGCAUUACUAACUCUGUCUGGAGACAGCAGCCCAGGUGAAGUAUGCCUUCUAGAAAAGUGAGAAAUUACAGUGCCAAAGACACAGCCCUCUGAGGUGACUUAGAAUCAACUGGGCCGAGAUUCUGCACUUCUAGCAAGCUGCCUUGUGAUCCUAUCAUAUUGCUGCUGGUCCAUGGAUCCAAGCAGAGGAAGCUUAAGAAGACUGUUGUGGACAACAGUAGAUAAGAACUCAUCUUACUUUUCAAAUAAGGCCCUUUUUCUCACAGGUUCUGCGGAAGAAGAAACAAUCAGAGAGAUAACUCUGUGAGUUUUCACAAUAAAUGCAAUCAGCAGCACAAUAAAUUAUACAUUUUCAUCAUCCCUAGUAUACCUCCAUGUCCUUUGUGGCCAACCAGUGAGACCCCUUGAUCUGUUUUCUGCAGAAUGUCAUAUAAAAGAAAUCACAGCAUUUCAAUGCAGUCUUUUGAUAAUGGUUUCUUUCAUUAACUACAGCAUUAAAGCUUUAUUCUUGGUUUAUGUAUUAUUAUCACUUCCUUUUUUCACUGAGUUGUAUUUGCUUAUAUUGAUAUAUCACAUCUUGCUUAUCUAUUCCAUAAUUGAGAGAUUUUUUUUAUUUUGGUUAAUCUAAAAAUGGUAAAAAUGCAUGUAUAAAUUUUUGUGUGAAUGUAGGCUGUAUUUCACUUGACUAACAAGUGAAAUAAAAAUAACAAACAAUGAGAUUGCUGGGUUGUACGUCAAAUGUAUGUUUAUAAGAAACUAUCAAAGUGUUUUCCAUAGUUCUUUUCUUACAGUCUCACCAGAGUUCCAGGUUUAUUUUUGUAGUUUACUCACUCUCUCAAUGUCAUAAAUUAAUUUGCC